rnacentral:lncRNA from 10 species
GGGAUUACAGGCGUGAGCCACCGCGCCCGGCCGCUACAGCCUUUUUAUGCUAUAAUACCAUAACAAAUGUCUAUUAAUAUUUUUUAUAUCAGCUUUAAUGGAAUAUUAUAAAUGUGUAGUGACAUUUUUAGUCAAAUGCUUUUGAAUAUUUAAUGUUUGGUAACAAUAGGGGAAAGCAGGGGAGGAAGAGAGCAUGCCCCUUCAUCCUUAAUUACUGGUCCUUUGCAUGCAGGAAAUAUGGCUUGAUUGUUUUAUUGUCCACCUCUUCAAUCAACAAUUCUUAAAUAUGGUGCAUAGUAAGUGUAUCUAGGCUUCUAAGACUUGCACAAAUCUGUAAACAUAAGCAAUAUAAAGCUAUGUUAGCUUGCAUGCUCAUCCCAUCUAUUGUACCAUUUAUGUGAACUUGAUUCAUCCAAACAUGUCACCACAGUAUUUUUUCAUCCAAACACAUUUAUCGUGUUAUUUCAACAUCUGAUGCAGGCGCUGGGGGUCAUGGAUUGGUGGAGAGGCGCCCAUACCCAAUUAUAACUGAUUAAUUGUAUGGCUUUCAAAAAUUGAAAUAGCAGAAAAUAAUAAUUGAGGAAAAUAAUUAAAUCAUAGUCCAACAUAUUUCAGAAACCUAUGUAUUUGAUGGAUUGCUUACAAUAAUUAACAGCUUAGAGCUCUGAAAUAAGACUUGCUUCUUUGCAAGGAGGCAAGUAAAAUUGACCAGUGAGUAUGCUGAUUAAAUACUGUGAUUUCACUCUGUGUCCCAAGUGAUUUACGUGUACAUCAACGCAAAAGCUAAGACUGAAGAGUGAGGCAGAAGGUGACCAGGUUAGCAGGCUGGGCUGUGCCGCAGGGCAGCAGAAUGAAUAUAUGCACAUUGUUCUCUGGAGUGAGCCUUCCUUUCCCUGAAGCUGAGGGUCUGUGGGAGCCUAAGGGGCUCCAUAAAUCUCAGCACUAGUAUAUUCCAGGGGAUGAUCGCCAGCAGCAUUAAGAGCUAUGUUUAGCCUUUAUGCCAUACUGUAUCUUUAUUAACCCUUCAGAUGCAAAUUCUGAAACAAAACAUUAAAAUGUGACUCACUCCAAACAGAAAGAUGGAAAUGUAUUCCUACUAAGAAAUAUGUGUAACUUCUAGAAAAAGAAAAAAAAACCCACAGAGAUUUGUUUUCAACAUAUUGUUUUUGCUUAAGAUAUAUUUUUACUCUUAAAAAUUAAGAAAUAGAAGGCCUUUUAUUAGAAGCAGUGUAGUGUCACAGAAUGACAAAGCACAGUAUCAGCAGACAGAAAACGUGGGUUCUAAUCUUGCUUUCCCUACAUAACUCUCAACUGGUUAUUUAGGUUCUCAAUAAAGUAGAAUGAUGAAAUACGUCUUCUUAAUGCUAUUGUAUUUUGUUAAUAUCUAACACUGUUGAUAUCAAGAUGAGAUCUUAUAAGUAGCUGGAAAACUAUCAGUGUAGGGAAAGAAUCUGAAAAAAAAUUGUUAAUCUAUUUUUCUGCUGAUACGAGCAAGUUAAGGGGUCUAAUUUACUAUUUUUGAGUUCACUUUCCUUUGUUAAUAGUCUAUUCUCAUUGAAAUGCCAGAGAAAUAGUCGAAUAAUGUCAAUCUUUUCAGACAACUCCAGGAUCCUAAAGAAAAAAGCAACUAAGGAAUGAUGACAGCAGUAAUGUGAAAAAAUGUAUCAUAUGCCCAGUGGAUUUAUCCCGUUCACAUAACUGGCUAACAAGAAUGUUUUUUAUGAGAGGCUGAGGCAGGAGAAUUGCUUGAACCCAGGAGGUGGAAGUUGCAGUGAGCCAGGAUCAUGCCACUGCACUCCAGCCUGGGCAACAGAGCAAGACUCUGUCUUAAAGGUUAAAAAGGUUUUUUAAUGCCUAGUCUACAGGACUUUUGUCCCCUUUAUUGCAUUCUGAGCUUCACUAUGUCUAAGCUCUAAGACUCUGACCUAAUGAGUUGCUAGUAGAUAUUUCAAGAACAGAGGUAUCAAAAUCUCAAAACAUAUUCAUAUAACUCAUUCUUGUGGAGAUUAUUUGCCAUUCUUUUUCAUUGCUUUGAAGAGAACUUUAAAUGUCCACUUAAAGGAAGAAAGCUACCAUAAUAAUACGGUUGAUGUAGUAUUGAAGUUUUAGUUCCUGAAAUGUUUAGAAUAUGAAUUUAGAAAAAGAAGAAAAAAGAUGCCACAGAUAAGUGAAUUUCACAAAAAUAUCUUAAUUAAAAUGCCCAAAGCCGAAUUAUGGUUUAGCAUCAAACGUCACAGAACCUGAUUUAUUUUGGAGGUAGAGAAAAAAGAGGACAAGGAGGCAGUUGCCAGAUCACAUAGGGCAUUUCGGGAAAAAAUCCUUUGAAAGUCAUUUUAUAAAAUCUUUGUUAGUCUAUGGUUCAUUAUAGACAUUUUCCCUUAAUUGGUGGGCAAGGACUUGAAAAGGUGAGGCUUGUUGGUGGCUGACCAACCUGCCUGAUUUGAGGACGCACUGAUGAGUCUUCAGGUUUCUGCAUCUUUAGCACAGUCAUUUAUAGCUCAUAUACAUAUAUAUGUAUAUAUGUGUACAUAUACAUAUAUGUACAUACAUAUGUAUGUAUAUAUAUACACACACAUAUAUAUUUUAUAUUUGAAUUCGGUUUCAAAUAGUUUUGUAUUUUACAUUAGGUAUGUUUGGAGAAUUAUGCUGCAACAAAUAUACAUAAAUUAUUUGGAAACAGAAAUAUCUUUAAAUUGGGUUUUCUUAAUGAAGGCUCCUUAAAAAGAAUAAAAUUAUUUUCUUUAUGUUUCACCAUUCUAUAUAAUAAACCUUUACCUGUUUCAAUGGUACUUGUGUCUUGCAAUUUUCGAUACAUUGUAGAAUAAAGUUCCAUUUUACAAAAAAUAUUUUGAUAAACCAUGCUGAAUUUCUACAGUUAAAAUUACCUAAAAACAACUCUUAAGGAUAAAACAAAUUUCAGAUUAAUUAUGAAAACAAGAAUGUGGCAGGGCAUGGUGGCCUACACAAGCAAUCCUAACACUUUAGGAGGCCAAGGUAGAAGGAUUGCUUCAGCCCAGGAGUUCAAGACCAGCCUGGGCAACACAGUGAGAUCUUGUCUCUACAAAAACAAUUUUAAAAAUUAGCCUACAUGGCACAAACAUCAUUUUGUUUGUACACUACCUAUCUGAGAUAAAUGACUUGAAAAUGUGAUAUUAUCAGCUGGAUCAGUCAUCUGAUAUGAGCUAUAAACGUGCAGCACAAAUGUCACUCAGAGACUGAAAAAUGAGUAAAAAUCAAUAAUUUCUUAGGGAAAAAAGACUGCCUAGAAUCUUAUUAAAAAACAUUCUGGGGGUCUAUCAGUUAGAAAUAUUUUGGUUACACUGACAGAUAACCAAAUUCAAAUGGGCUUAGAGCAAAAAAUGGGAGGGCAUAGGGGACACUUACUUGUUCACAUAACUGGAAAGCUCCAAGGUCAGUUGGUUUCAGGUAAGGCUUGAUCCAGCAGUUCAGCAGUAUUACUAAGGACUUGCCUUUACCCAUAUUCUUCCCCAUGCCUGAAUGUCCAGGUAAGAGUCAUUGGUCAUUGUAAAGAUUUGUCCAGCUUCCAUUCUUCAUUCCUAAUCUGAGUUUGUUUUCCUUUUAGAGAAUAACUCCCUAGUGUGUUUAAUCUUAGUAAGAAGGUAAUUAUUCCAGGCACCAGUUUCAUCUCUACUGAAAGGGAAAGAAACAGAUUUCACCUCUCCCUUUGCCCUUCCCUUCCCUUCCCCAUCCCUAAGUUUAUGAGCAGACAUAUGACUUAAGCUUGGUCAGGUAGAUGCUGUCUUCUGGACUUUGGAUCUUGACAGAGUUCCACGGGAUGGAAGGAACAGGGGCAGCCCUGCAGCAUAGCCUUUGCUCCUCCCCACUGUCAAACCUGCUGUCCAUAUCUAAUCAAUCCUGGAAGUCCUACAAGCAUUUCCCUUUGCUUAGGUUGCCUAUGUCCUGCUGUUUGAUUGAUAGAGCAACAGAGCCUUUGCAGGAAAGCCCGUGCAAAGGAGAACCUCCCACCUUGUGUCCCCAGGGCACUAAGUAUCAUAUCUUUUGAUGUGCCCAUAUCGAUAAACAUUGUACUACUGACUUAGCAAUCUGUGUUCCCCACCCUACUGAGCUCUCUAAAAACAGAGUACUUAGCUUAUGCUUAGCCCAGUGUCUGGUCAAUAUUAGAUAUUUAGAAAAAUCUGUGUGAAUGAAUGAAUGAAUGAAUCACUUUAGGGAGAAAGGACAUGCUUGUAUUAAACAGUUCUUAAAUUUAAGUCAUACAUUAUCAAGCACAAAUAAUAAGGGCUCUUUACAAAGUAUCGAACUGCCAUAAGGAACAUUUUUAGGCUAUUUUAUGAGGACUUAUUCUUUGAGGAUCUAUAUACCUGUCAGGAUGAAUCUUGGUUCAUCCCUGAAAUUUAAUCUGAAGGCUUCUUCAGUGCAGAUUGCUCCCUAUCUAAUAGGGGAUAAAUAUCCAUUAUGCCACCAGGAAAUGCCUCUGACAUUUAAAUGCAUGCCUUAUCCUAACUGAAAUAAAGGAUCUCAAUUCUCCCCAGUUUGCCUGCAGCACCACUCCCAGGAGCCAAGCCCUGGCCUGGCCAAUGACACCACAUGUGUAGAAAGAUACACUGGGUUUUGCAGGCUCAGCCUCCUGCAGGGGCACCCGCAUUCCAGCCUGGCACGGUGGGCACCCAGCACCUCCCAGGGGAGCAGGGCAGUGCACCGAGAGUCGAGAUGCUCCAGCAAGGGUGGGCAUAAACCAGGGCUGGUCUUCCUCUACCCUUCUCCUUCCCUUCCCCUCCGAGUAAUGUGUGUCUAGCCAUUAGGUGAGACAGAGGAUAUGGGUGUGUGCCCAGAGCAGGACACUGCCCUGAGUCCAGUGGGGAGGUCGGGAGGGAGCCCCCUCAGGGCCAAGGGUGGCAGAGGAGCAGGGAGGUCGCUGUCAUAUGGGGGACUGACCAAAGAAGUCAAUCUAUUAAGCAUCACAGAAGCCAGGUUUCUUGUCAGAAAACGGAGUUGAAAAUAUGAGGAGGGAGAAAACUAGAAUUAUCCCUUCAGGUGGAGUUGGAAUCUGACCCACCCAUCUGAACUGGUGGUUUUCUAGGUGGCUGGUGUGUUCAUUUCCUACAGCUGCUGUAACAAAUUGCCACAAACUGCGGGGCUGAAGACAAAUUGAUUCUCCCACAGUUCCAGAGCCCAGAUGUCAGAACUCAAGGUGUUGGCAGGGCCGUAAUCCCCAAAAGCUCUAGGGGAGAUUUCCUUCCCUGCCCCUUUCAGCUUCUAGUGGCUCCACAACACUGAGUCCUCACAUGGUGACCUCGAGAGAAAGGAAAAAAAAAAAAAAAAGGCAAAGAGGGCCUACGUAGAUAGUACUCUCCAGCCCUGUUACAAGGGCACUCACUAAUACAUUCAUGUGGGCAGAGCCAUCGGGACUUAUCACUUCCCAAAAGGUCCCACAUCUUAAAACUGUCACAUUGGGUCUUAGGUUUCAACAGAUGAAUUUUGGAGGGACACAUACAUUCAAACCAUAGCAGGCUCUGAGGAUUCAUGUCAACUUCCUCAUUUUGAUGGUGUGUUAUGGUUCAGUAGGAGAAAGUCCUGUUUAUAGGAAAUUCACACUAAAGUACUUGGGGCUAAGCAUCAGGUUGGCAACUUACUUUCAAAUGGAUCAGAGAAAAAUAUGUUCUUUGUACAGGACUUCCAAAUUUUCUGUAAGUUGGUGAUUGUUUUAAAAAACAGACCCAACUCAGCACUGAUCUUAAGUCUAGUAGACGGUCAACAGCAGGUUAUAAUUUCAGGAGCUGCACACAGCCAUCAGCCAGUUUCCCUAUGUGCUUAUCAUUCCAUUUCAUCCUCAUUAGAAUAGUCAACAUUAUUUUGUAGCCAUUUCCAUGUUAUCUUUAAACUAUGAAUUCUAUAAAGUUCUAAGGACCAAUCUAUUUUACUCACCAGCAUUUAUCCAAUGACCAGAACAGUCCUUGCGACAAAGUAGGCACUCAAUAAGUAUGUGCUGAUUGAAUGAAUGAAGGUGACUUGAAAUAGAGGCACCAGCAUGGCCUUUGGAGCUAGAACUGGGCACCACUCCCAUCUCUCCCACUUCCCAUGUGUCCUCUGCACCACAUGCAUCAACUUCCUAGCCCAGCUGAACAAGAGCCAGACUUUCUAGAUUUGAAUCCUGACUCUACUACUUCCUAGUUAUGUGGUCUUGGGCAAGUUCCAUCAGUUUCCUCAUCUAUAAAAUGGGAAUUGUAGUAGUUUGUAUACUUCAUAGGGAUGUGUGGCAUGUUGUAAGUGCUUAUGAAUUAUCUGGGCUUGAUUUCCCAGCUCUUUAAAGAGAAUAUUACUUGCAAGGUUGUUGUGAGACUUGACCCUCCAUAAAUAGCAGUUAUCAUGAUUCCAUUUGAUAAUACUUUCUAUGAUCUAAUCACAACUUUAUGAAAUAGGGAAAGCAUCCCUAUUUUGUUAAAAAAAAAAAAAAACAAACUAAUGUGUAAAUUGAGUGAUACAUUCGAGUUCAACACUAGCAAGGAUAGGGUCUAACUCAGACACAAACACAUCUCUCCAGACCCAAGACUGUGACCCUUUUCCCCGCAUCACAAAUUCCUUUACAGGUCUGAAAAGGCCCCCUGUUAAACUGAAGAUGUUCUUGGGAAGGACUGCACUGUAAGCUUUACUCUUUUAAAGAAAGACACCAUACGGCAGUAGUUUUUAACAUACUGUGCAGCAGAAGCACAUGGAAAAAUUGUUAAAAACAGGUUAUUGGCUGGGUGUGGUGGCUCACGCCUGUAAUCCCAGCACUUUGGGAGGCCGAGGCGGGUGGAUCACAAUGUCAGGAGUUCGAGACCAGCCUGACCAACAUGAUGAAACCCCGUCUCUACUAAAAAUACAAAAAUUAGAAUGGCAUGGUGGCAUGUGCCUGUAAUCCCAGCUACUCAGGAGGCUGAGGCAGGAGAAUCGCUUGAACCCAGGUGGCGGAGGUUGCAGUGAGCCGAGACUAUGCCAUUGCACUUCAGCCUGGCCAACAGAGCGAGACUCCAUGUCAAAAAAAAAAAAGUUACUGGCCCCACCCCUGGAAUUUCGGAUUCAGUAUGUAUGGGUUGAGCUGGAAAAUCUUGAGAACCACUCCCCUAAGGGGAAGUAGCUGAAAGCUGGCUUAGAAAGCAGGAAAUGGUGUGGGCAGGAGAGAUCUGGGGAAAGCCAGGGAGGCAGGAAGGGGCAGCUUUAAGAGCCAGCCAGAGAGGGGAGGGCUCUGCCAGAUGGAAGAAAAAGCACCAGAUCAGGCUCUAGCUCAAUCUCAGUCUUUGGCAAAUCACCUUUUCUGAGAUAAAAAGGAGUAAUUCUUUUAAAAACAAGCUACCACAGCUCACCCCAUACGAAAUAAUUUGAGUACCCCUGUAACUGUUUCAAAAAUCGAAUUAAUGGCCGGGUGUGGUGGCUCACACCUGUAAUCCCAGCACUUUGGGAGGCUGAGGCGGGAGGAUCAUGAGGUCAGGCAUUCGAGACCCACCCGGCAACAUAGUGAAACCCCGUC